rnacentral:lncRNA from 1 species
UCUAGGAAAAUAAAUAAAAGACCAAAAAGAUACAUGAUGGAGAUGAUGAACAGUUGCUCUGUUUGCUUACUUUCAAGUACCUAGCUUUUAUAUUGGAGUUCUUCCAGGGAUUACUAAAACUGAAAUUACUAUCUAUGGGAAACAUAAAACUAAAGUCUAGGUAAGAGAAAGGCAUGAUAUAAAGUUUGAGCUAUUGUUUAUCUUGAUCUUACAACACUGAGUUCUGGAGAUUUAUUUUGAAAACUUACAAAUCACAUGAUGAGUUCCUAGAAUAACAAACUUCCUACCACAGCCAUACUUGCUAUAACAUCUUUUACUAUAUUCACAUUGAGUUUGAUCGAGCUGUGUAGACCCUUAGGAGCUUUUCAUGUGGUUAAAUUAAGAUAUUCACUUGCACACAUCCACUACACCAUUCACCACCAAUCAUUAAAAUUGCUAAAAAUAUUAUCACUCACUAUCCCAAGUGUUGUUAUUUUCUCUCUCUAAUAAGAUUCAAUGCAGAAGAGGCAUGGGUUAUGCAAAAAUAUGCGAGGAAAUAAAAAGGGGCAAGUGCCCGGAACCUCGAAAAAAGAAAGAAAAAAGUGAGACGAGAGGUAAAAAUAGACAAGUGUCUGGAGUGGAAUUAGGGGUACAAAGAUGCCCAC